rnacentral:rRNA from 1 species
AUACUAGAGCAGAACCCUUAUGCACGGGCUUUCAAGAGCCUUGGGUCUGUUCCGAAUCUAGAUGAGUACAAGAUCUCACUAAACACAGAUAUCAAGUUGGAUCAACGUAGGUACAAUGCCCCAACGACUUCUCAGGUGGCAGCGAUAUGGGUUGAAGGGAGCGACCCACAAAACUGUUUUGACAGGAGUGUUGUCGGUCUUGUUGACACCAUCGUUGCCGGCGAGUCACGCGGUGAUCGAAUUGGCAAGAGAAUCGUGCUUCCACGUACGUUUCCUGGUGGUGAUCGUGAGAUGCAGCGGAGGUUGUUGGAUGCGAUGGCAAUAGUCCAACGGUGGGGUAAACCGGAUUAUUUUAUCACGAUGACUUGCAAUCCCUAUUGGGAGGAGAUAACCCAUAAUCUGAUGCCUGGACAAUUGCCACAAGACCGUCCAGACCUUGUGGCAAGAGUAUACAAGGCUAAACAACGAGAUAUGAUGGACUUGCUAACUAAGGGUAAGCAUUUCGGAGAAGUCGCAGCUUAUGUACAUGUCACCGAGUUUCAGAAAUGA